UACGUAGGUGGCAAGCGUUGUCCGGAAUUAUUGGGCGUAAAGCGCGCGCAGGCGGCUUCUUAAGUCCAUCUUAAAAGCGUGGGGCUCAACCCCAUGAGGGGAUGGAAACUGGGAAGCUGGAGUAUCGGAGAGGAAAGUGGAAUUCCUAGUGUAGCGGUGAAAUGCGUAGAGAUUAGGAAGAACACCGGUGGCGAAGGCGACUUUCUGGACGAAAACUGACGCUGAGGCGCGAAAGCGUGGGGAGCAAACAGG
rnacentral:rRNA from 1 species